CCCUGGGGGUUCUGGUAAUCCUGGAAGGCUUCCUGUCAGAGGUAUUUCACAUGCAUUCUCUCAUUUAAGACCCACGGCAACUCAGCAACAUAUUAUCCCCUUUUACAGAUGAGAAAGGGCUCAUUGAGGCAAAGGGAUUUAUUUAUUCAAGUUUACAUGGCUGCCUGUGGCAGGGUUGGGUGAACCAGGGCUGCUCUGCCUCUGUGCCUGCUAUGCCAAGUGAGAAUAGGGUACUCAUCCCAGGAUCAUCUUUGCAGGCAUCCAGCUGUUUCCCGUGCCCACCUGCCCCCUCAUUAGGUUCUGUAAGAUCACCGUCCUGACCCCCAGGAGCACACUCACCCAUGGGGUCAGGCUGCUAUUAGAAAUUCCUUCCAGAGAUGCCAGGUGAGAGGGAGGCAGGCAGACAGACAUCUGUGGGGGUCACAUUCACCCCAGACAGUUCAUUGCCGGAAGGAAGCCACAUGCCUCACGUCGAAGCUCAUCUGAUUGGAGUCAGACACAGCCAGAUACAGUCAUGAUUGUGUCCAGAGGCCCACGGGGGCUGGCGGGGCCCUUCACGACAGCUGCUACGGCACAGCCCAUCUGGAAGGGCUCUUUUUGUUCAACGCUUUAACCCUCUGAGGACCCUCGGGACCAAGGGAUGCCACACCCUGGGUGAGAGAGAUACUCAAGGAGGAGGGUCCCUCUACAGAGGAUGAGUUAGGACACCCGGGACGGGCCCACAUUUUCCUCCCCACUCUGCUUCCCAGGUAGAUUGAGGGUAGGAGGAGGCCCACAUUCCACAGAGGAGAGACUGUGAGCCUCUUGAGUUUUAAGAAUCUGUGAAGGAACACCCCCAAACACCUACCAUGCACCCCCAAGCAAGUAAAGGGGCUCCCUGAGUUCCAGCAGCUUGAGUAAAGGCCCAGAAAGUGACCCUGUGAGGCUCAUGGAGAAGGGAAUGUUGAGGGCCCAGCCUGCACUGGGUGGGCAGCGCCCUGCCCCAACUUCCCGCAGGUUCCCAGGAAAUGAACAAAAGGCUCCCUCAGCUCACUCGUUGGCAGAUGUCUCUGACCUGAGGCCAUUCAUCAACUCUCACUCAGGCACUCAGCCCCCCAGACAGCCUGGAGGUGUUGGCAGCACACCAGAGAGACUUUCAGCCAAAGACAGGUCUGGUUUCCCUGAAGAAAAAGAAACCUGAACUGGCUGCCUUCCCAGAGCGUCUGCUUGGGGGACCCACCCAAGUAAACAAAGCUGUUAAAUGGGGGCAUGUGGGCCAAAGCCCGCUGCACUAGAAGCUCCCGCUGCAGCAGUGCUGCCCUGCCCCAGGCACCACUCUAGCAAGAGAGAGCCUCUCACCACCGUGGGGCCUGACCCUGCUGCUGACCAGCCUCUGCUACCCACAGCCUGGACCCUCUCUCCACCUGGAGCCCCUCUCCUUCCUGCCUCCCUCUGAUUCAUGCCCGGAUAUGAAGGCCAAUCUUGCAGAAACUGAGAAAACAUGGCUGGCAAAUCAAUAACCUCUGGUCUGGGGAUCAAGAUAAUUCAAGAAGAAGAAGAGAGUGUGUGUGUUUUCCUCCAUAAGUUUCCUAAGCAAUUGUAUCAGUCUAUCCCCACUUAUAGGUACUUUGCAAUGGUGUCCUUUCAUAAUCAGAGAGUCACAGCCCCACGUGUGCCUUCGGGAGUUCUAACGCUGCUGUUGGCCACAAGUGGGACCCGGAGCAAUUCGUGUACAUUUUCAGGAUCUCAAUUUUCCCAUCUUUAAAAUAAAAGAAGGUCCUUGAUCAUUAGAAAAGGGGGAAAGGAGGAGGAUUAUUAGUCUCAGAACUCAAUGGAAAAAUAAAACUUAAUGAAAAGAUGGUAUAAGAACCUUUCUGCUCUAAACUUCCAUGAGUUUAUGUCCACGUUUAUAUAUUGGCUUGAGCAUGAUCUACUGUUAAUGAUUAUGUGCCACCCUUAAUGGGACAAGAUGUACUUUCGACACUGCCCUUCCA
rnacentral:lncRNA from 1 species